rnacentral:rRNA from 1 species
GAUGAACGCUGACAGAAUGCUUAACACAUGCAAGUCUUUGGCGAAGCUGUGCUUGCACAGCCUAGCCAAGGCGGACGGGUGAGUAACGCGUAAGGAACUUGCCCUGCAGUCAGGGAUAACAGACGGAAACGACUGAUAAGACCUGGUAAAGUCAGGCGGACUCAUGUCCAGCCUGAUGAAAAGAGAUGCUGCAGGAGAGCCUUGCGUCCUAUUAGCUUGUUGGUGGGGUAACGGCCCACCAAGGCGAUGAUAGGUAGCCGGCCUGAGAGGGUGGACGGCCACAAGGGGACUGAGAUACGGCCCUUACUCCUACGGGAGGCAGCAGUGGGGAAUAUUGGACAAUGGGGGCAACCCUGAUCCAGCAAUUCUGUGUGCACGAUGAAGGUUUUCGGAUUGUAAAGUGCUUUCAGCAGGGAAGAAAAAAUGACGGGACCUGCAGAAGAAGCGACGGCUAAAUACGU